AGCGAACGCUGGCGGCAGGCCUAACACAUGCAAGUCGAACGAACCUUUCGGGGUUAGUGGCGGACGGGUGAGUAACACGUGGGAACGUGCCCUUAGGUUCGGAAUAACUCAGGGAAACUUGUGCUAAUACCGAAUGUGCCCUUCGGGGGAAAGAUUAAUCGCCUUUAGAGCGGCCCGCGUCUGUUUAGCUAGUUGGUUGAGGUAAUGGCUCACCAAGGCGACGAUCAGUAGCUGGUCUGAGAGGAUGAUCAGCCACAUUGGGACUGAGACACGGCCCAAACUCCUACGGGAGGCAGCAGUGGGGAAUCUUGCGCAAUGGGCGAAAGCCUGACGCAGCAAUGCCGCGUGAAUGAUGAAGGUCUUAGGAUUGUAAACCUCUUUCAGCACGGAAGAAGCGAGAGUGACGGUACGUGCAGAAGAAGCGCCGGCUAACUACGUG
rnacentral:rRNA from 1 species